UAUAUUACAGAUGAAUUAAUGUUACUGCGUUGACUCUAAAAAUCUUUUUUCAACAUAUUCUGUAAAGAAAUAACACAAAACCUUUUAUGGUGGACAGGCGGUAACAUUUAUGGGUUGUAAUAUAAAGGAGGGUUGGGCAGACGAACAAAAUUCAUAUCACUGUAAUUUUUAAGAUUCUGGCAGUUUGAUGAUAUAUCACCUUUUUAUUUAAGUUUUAUUUAUUUAUUUAUUUUCAUUACUCAGCCUUUAAAUAGGCUCAUAUAUAAUUUACAGGUAGUAACAUCGGUGCAGUAGAGACAUCUCAGUUGAGUCAGAAAUGUAAAAAUAAUAUUAUAAAUGUAUUUUAUAUAGUGCAGUCAGUUAAACGCGUUAUUAACGGCGUACAUUUUUUAUCGUGAGAUUAACGUUCUUUUUGGCCUAGCACACUUUGUAGUUUUUUCACAUGCUGUUGCAACAACUAGUAACGUUACAAAAACUACAACACCACACCGGAUCUAGCUAGACCGGAAACAAAACAACAGGCACGCCGCACACACUUGUUUAAGAGUAGUUCCUCCAAAAAAAACAAAAAUACGAAGUACUCAAAGGGAUCAGUGGGAAAACGAAGGCAGAUAUUCUCUGUAUCAUGAUACAAAAAAUAAAAGACUCAAAGUGGCCAUCAAACAACUUCAACAGGAGAACUUUGGGGAAUACGAGUGUGAAUUUUAUCAAGGACAGAACUCAUAAGACGAAGUUAAAGUUAAAGUGAAAGCUGAAAGAUGGCUGCCAGGGAUUUCUUCAAACUGCGUACAGAACGACUAAAACCACCAUCACAUGUGAUUAUCCAGGAAACAAACACAGGUCCAGUGUCAAGUUUAUCUGCAGAGAGAAUAAUUUCACUUGUGAGGAGAUUUUAUCAACGAGAUCUUCUGUAAAGUCAAACGGGACCUUCAAUCUCACAGAAACCAACAGAGGAUUCAGUGUGUCCAUCAGUAAUGUGUCCUCACAUGAUGCUGGUCUCUACUGGUGUGGAGUGAAUAAAGGAAAUUACCGAACUGGACUCAGAAAAAUCCAACUGAAGGUUGAAGAUAUUAGGACAUUCACAAAGUCUCCAACUAUUGGACAGAAUUUUACAUACUGGUGUGAAUAUAAAAAUGAUCCUCCGAUAAAGAAAUUCAUCUGUAAGGGAGAAGAUCCAUCUAUAUGUCAACCACUGAUCACUACACAGCAAAAGAAGAACACAAAGUUUUCCAUGAAGGAAGACAAAGAGAAGAGAAAUAUCACCAUAACAGUGAGAGAAGUAACAGCAGACGACAGUGGGACAUACUGGUGUGGAGCAGAAAGCACUGACAGAAGACGCAGUAACACAUUCUUCCACAGAUUCUUGAUGACUGUAGUGUCAACAAUUCCCUCUUCAACCUCAUCACCACCUGUAACACAACCAGCUACUGUUUCUAAUGACGCCUUUGAUCUCACAUCUGUGCAGACCAUUGCUCUGGCUCUCUCUCUGGAUGUGCUGCUGUUGCUGCUGAUGCUCACUUCAUACUUCAUCUACACACGUUUUGCACCUUGUAAGAAAACAAGGAGAGGAGCAUGAAGGAAAAGCAAACAGGUUAGUGUGUGAAAUAUGAAUAUAAAUAUAUAUUAUUUAAGUAACAAUUACAUCUAAGCUAUACCCAAAAGCAGUGUUUUGGUUACCACACAAGAUUCAUAUUAUAUAAAUGACAGAAUAAUACAUAAUAAAUAAUAAUUGCUGGUUGUGAGGUUACUGCAGGGAUGUCAGGGACGUAAACAGGUUUGCAAAAUUGGACCCAUUCAGGACUGGGUAGCAUCCACACCAUCAACAUUUUUUGUUUUCAGUAUAAAUAGUGUUUACUGUCACAUACGUACGACUGAGACUAAACAUUUUACUUUCUUCACCAGAUGGAAAUAAAUCUAUAAUGAAAUACAGGAAAAAACUCAGAGCCAAUAGUCGACUAGUUGUUGCACGUUUAUGAUAUUAAUUUCAUUAUUUAAAUAUACAUAUUUUAACAGCCAGCUCUUAAAUGCUAACAUAAAAAGUGGUAAUGAAUCUGAAUGUGUCAGAACUACCAGCAAGGACUGAACAUUUAGUUUAAUUAUUUCAACACAGUAUAACAUCACACUACAUGUUGUUGUUCUAAACACAGUUAACAGUUACUUACAAAUCAACUCGCUCUUCUUUCUCCGUGUCACAAGGACCUACUCCCGAACAAGUUUAAUUCACAUUGUGCAUUUUUUUGCGCUUUAUUGAAAAAAUAAAAAUAAAACUGAUUGCCAUCAUUUGGGGAAACUGUUGUUGUUUUAACACUUCAUUUAAAUACCUCGAGCUAAACACAUUUAAUAUUUUGUUCCAUUUCAUUUAGAGGUGAAGAAGGCACAGGAGGGAGUGUGGGUUGGUGUGCGAGUCCCAGAGUCUCCAGUGUGCACAGCUUAACCCCGGUAUCCAGUCAGCCAGGCCCCAGUUUUGUUUUAGUUUUCAUGUUUAGCCUCUACUUGUACUGGCUUGUAUGUAUUAUUAGUAUUAUGUAUUAUGCUACUUGAGUCAGUGUUUGUAAUGUGUCUGUUCAGAACAUGGUGGUCUAUGUUGGUUAUAGUUUUAACCAUUAGUGAGCGGCCUGUUACAUUUGAUGACCUCUGCUGUAUAUAGCAUAUAUUGUCUAUAAUCAUGUAAAUAAUUGACAUGAAACUCACUGUCAGACUCUUAGUUUCCAUCUCAUAGCACAAUAUUAGCAGUUGAUAAAAACAUGCAUAUGAAAUCUAGAUUGGCAUGUGGAUCGGCAUCGUUGGUCUGAUAUCCAAUGAGUGAAUUACUUCAGUAUCUGCCCCCAAUACCGAUACUGGAUCCGAUCAGUCCCAUCUCUACAUAUUAAUGUGUCAGUCCUGGCUUUACUGGUCCAGAUUGAGGACAAGGUUGGAUAUCAUGACAUGAAAAUGUACAGUUAGAAUCUAAAUUAUAACAAAGAUAUGGAUUAAAUUCUGGAUUUUAGUCUUCAGUUAGUGUCUUUAUUCUCACUAGUAAGCACUUGGCAAAAAGUGAGGUUUAGGUUUAGUUUAUUUACACAAAUAAAAUAACCACAGUCAGUACUACUUUUGCAUUAGUUUUUUAAGACUUGAACCAAACAUCAAACAACCAAACAUCCUGCCUACAGCCUCACCAGCAGACUGAUAUUAAUGUAAUUUAUAUUCUGUAUAUAAAGUUUAUACUAUGUGCAAUAUGUUAUGCAUCAGUUGUUGUUUCAUUGUUUAAAGAUGAAUCUUUUUGAAAUGUUAAUUUUUUACUAAAAUACUGCAUUUGUACAAUGUGUCACUUUUUUCUUUGAACAUAUUUCAACACUAUAUUUGAUUAACAAAAAUAGUUUAUAUAAUGAUAUUAAUGGUGGUUUACACUCCGCUGCAGGAGAGAGAGGUGUGGGGAAGGCCUGGGAGAGCAGUGCCAGGUGAGUUGACGAUCACAGCUGCUACUCAUUGAGUAAACACUCUUCCCUUAUAUUGCAGUAGUGUGCUGAGAGCGAGCGUGAGAGUCGUAUGAAGUUGUUGUGUAUUAUCUGUUGUGACAGCGACGCUUGAAAUAAAAGUUGUGUGGUACAACGGCCCAGUGUGUGAGAUUGUGUGCUGUGG
rnacentral:lncRNA from 15 species